rfam:Felis catus isolate Cinnamon breed Abyssinian chromosome B4, whole genome shotgun sequence.
GCCUGGGUAGCUCAGUUGGUUGAGCGUCUGACUUCAGCUCAGGUCACGAUCUCCUGGUCUGUGAGUUCAAGCCCCGCAUCGGGCU